rnacentral:rRNA from 1 species
GACGAAACCGUGCGAAACGUUGUUCGGAAUCACUGGGCUUAAAAGGGCGCGUAGGCGGGCAUUCAAGUCAAGGGUGAAAUCCCCCAGCUUAACUGGGGAACUGCCUUUGAUAACUGGGUGCCUCGAGUAAGGUAGGGCAUGCGGAACUGAUGGUGGAGCGGUGAAAUGUGUUGAUAUCAAUCAGGAACUCCGGUGGCGAAGGCGGCAUGCU